rnacentral:lncRNA from 1 species
GCUGCCGUUCUUACGUUGUGGAUUCGGAGCGUGAUAAACAUUUCGAACUGCAGCACAAGAGGCUCAUCCACGAUCGCCGCGCGAGGAGAAAAAAAUUUGCUGCGGAAGAACUGAUCGUGCGUUUUCAUGCACUACAGUCGCUACAGUUCGACAUGGUUAACUUGCACCAAGUCGUCCAAUGUUCGGCUUUGCGAGCAACACACUAGGAUGACUGAAGGACGUAACACUUCUGGACGGGAAUUACAUGUUCAAGAAUUGUUUUGAAAUGUACAAGGAAGAUAUUGGCAUUCUCCUUGCGCCAUCAGCUGUUCAACAUCUGCGAGCUGCAAAGGCUCUCCUGUAUGACAAGGAAGCAGUAGACGCGGCAUUCGCAAUGCUCAUUUUAUGUGCUUCCAAGGGAUGCGGCCAAAGGACGACCUGCGGAUGUGCGAGUCACGUUUAUGGGAGCUGCAAAAAAGAAUUAAAGUGUAUCCCCAGUGUUUGUUA